rnacentral:rRNA from 1 species
CGCGUAGGUGGUAGUGCAAGUCUGAGGUGGAAUCCCAGGGCUUAACCCUGGAACUGCCUUGGAAACUAGCAUUACUUGAGUCAGUGAGGGGAGGGUAGAAUUCCUGGUGUAGCGGUGAAAUGCGUAGAUAUCAGGAGGAAGGCCGGUGGCGAAGGCGGCCCUCUGGCGCUGAACUGACACUGAGGCGCGAAAGCGUGGGGAGCAAACAGGAUUAGAUACCCUGGUAGUCCACGCCCUAAACGGUGGGCACUAGGUGUAGGGCUCGUAAGGGUUCUGUGCCGAAGGGAAACCAUUAAGUGCCCCGCCUGGGGAGUACGGCCGCAAGGUUGAA